rnacentral:rRNA from 1 species
GGGGGUUCGCUCCCCGAGUAAAGUGGCGCACGGGUGAGUAACGCGUAGGUAACCUACCCUCGCGGUCGGGAUAACAGCUCGAAAGGGCUGCUAAUACCGGAUAAGACAGUGGCUCGGAGGAGCCAUUGUGAAAGGGGGCCACUCGAAAGAAGCUCCCACACGGGGAUGGACCUGCGUCCUAUCAGCUAGUUGGUGAGGUAGAGGCUCACCAAGGCGACGACGGGUAGCUGGUCUGAGAGGAUGAUCAGCCACACUGGCACUGGAACACGGGCCAGACUCCUACGGGAGGCAGCAGUGAGGAAUUUUGCGCAAUGGGAGCAAUCCUGACGCAGCAACGCCGCGUGGGUGAAGAAGGCCUUCGGGUCGUAAAGCCCUGUCGGGUGGGAAGAAAGGACGGGAGAGGAAAUGCUUUCGUUUUGACGGUACCACCAGAGGAAGCACCGGCUAACUCCGUGCCAGCAGCCGCGGUAA